rnacentral:tRNA from 1 species
CGCAGAGUAGAGCAGCUCGGCAGCUCGCCUGGUUCAUACCCAGGAGGUCGCGGGUUCAAAUCCCGCCUCUGCAA